CCAGCAUCACUCUGCGGUGGAAUAAAGUCAACAGCAAUGUCAGCUUUGUUCUCCAGUUUAAUGGUACCGAGACAAGCAUCAGUGCACCAGUUGGAAAUGGACCAGUGAAUCAAACAGUCUCAUCUCUCACUGCUGGAACUCAAUACACAUUCACUCUCUACUCUGUGUUUGAGAACGUCAGAAGCAGUGGAGUCAGCAUUACUGCAGUCACUGGGCCUGACUUUAUCAUCAGACUGAACGUGAGACUGAAGUCAUUUCCUCAGCUGUCAGACUCAGAAAUUCAGGAUACACUGGAGGAGUUCUUCAGAAAAAAUGGAUUAUUGCCACAGUUUUUUUCCCUGAAGGUCCGGAAGGUUAAACCAUGACACGAGAAGAGAAAAGAAGUGAUUGAAUGGAAGUGAACAGAUCUGUGCAGCAAAGAAGAAAAGAACGUUUCUUAAGUGCUUUUCAUGUUUAUUACUUUCCUCAAAAAGGAACUAAAACAAAUUAAUUGUUUAAUUAAUAAAUACAUAAAUAAAAGUAGAUUUUUUUUGCUCUUUAUUCUGUGUUCUUUAACAGUAAAAGAGAUCAUUCAAUAAUAGCUAUGUGAAGUUUUGCUUGCAAGUAUUAUAACUGUGUUGAUGCAAAUAAACAAAAUUCUGUAGGGAUUUAUAGUACAACACUAUAUUUCAAAACCUAUUGUCAUGUGUCCUGUGUGGCAGGCAGGAUAUAGGACCCAAUUGCAGGACUCACGAAACAGAAUGAACUUAAAGCGUUUAUUGCUGGGAGACUUUCCGUAAAAAGUAAACUUCACAAAAAAAAUAACCAAAACCUCAAACAUUAAACCAGAAACUAACCUGGACACUUGAGUCUAGAAACUAGGGAUAGCUUGCUUGAAGCUGACACUCUGGAGCGUGUGUCACAAAAAAACAACACACUGCGUCAGAAGCACUGACGCACUGACGUUAGAACGUAACUCUUCGGCACCUGGUUCAAUGGUUUAUAAGGAAGUAAAUCAUGCAUGGGAUUUGUGGAGUGUUUUGAUGGUGAGAGAUAGCAAACCACUGAUCAUUCUAUUGAGAGAUAUGGAGCCAGCAAGGAGGAAAGGGGGUUCUGUCAUAUGGGAGUAUUUUGAGUUGAUUUUGGUCAAUCGGGUGGGUUUGCCAGCUUUGUGUUCUUGUUGUUUGCCUUUGUUUUGGGUGUUAUUUUAUUUUUAAAACAAUCUUAAAAUGUUAUUCUAUAAAAUGUGCAGCAAUUGAAUUUGUUUAUUCUGUGGGACCCAGGAAGACCAUAUACCUGCAUCUCUACCAGUUUCUGUGCACGCCAGCCUCUUCUGUUCCAUGUGAGCGGAUUUUCUCUAAGGCAGGAGAAAUUAUCUCCAAAAGCAACAGACUCGGCCAUUGCACAGUGGAACAAAUUAUCUUCUUAAAAUAAAAGCCAA